rnacentral:lncRNA from 1 species
AUGAGAGAGAGAGACACAGCAAGAAAGGGAACACAAGCCCAAUGGAAGAACACAAGAAUGGGAGAGGGAGAAGCAGGCCUUCCCCCAAGCAGGGAGCCCAAGGCGGGGCUCGAACCUAGGACCCUGGGAUCAUGCCCUAAGCUGAAGGCAGGCGCUAAAUGACUGAGUCACCCAGGCACCCAGAUAACCGUUAAUGUUGAAGGACACUGGAAAAACGAGGAAAAGACCAAUGGAAAAAGACACUCAAGAUAAUGCAGCACCAAAGAGGCUAAAGAGCAAUCUUAACUCAAGGGCUGAUAAUAAUGGAGAUACUACCAGAAGAUUAAGGAGAAGGAUUUGACCACCAUGGAAGACACCAAUUACCUUUGAGAAUCUAAAUCAGGUUCUCAAUUUUAAAGGAGAACAAAUGCUGAAAACUUUGACAUAACUUACAUAAUAUGUACAUAGUACUACUU